AGAGUUUGAUCAUGGCUCAGGACGAACGCUGGCGGCGUGCUUAACACAUGCAAGUCGAACGGAAAGGCCCUUCGGCGUACUCGAGUGGCGAACGGGUGAGUAACACGUGGGUGAUCUGCCCUGCACUUUGGGAUAAGCCUGGGAAACUGGGUCUAAUACCGAAUAGGACCGCGCGCUUCAUGGUGUGUGGUGGAAAGCUUUUGCGGUGUGGGAUGGGCCCGCGGCCUAUCAGCUUGUUGGUGGGGUAAUGGCCUACCAAGGCGACGACGGGUAGCCGGUCUGAGAGGGUGACCGGCCACACUGGGACUGAGAUACGGCCCAGACUCCUACGGGAGGCAGCAGUGGGGAAUAUUGCACAAUGGGCGCAAGCCUGAUGCAGCGACGCCGCGUGAGGGAUGACGGCCUUCGGGUUGUAAACCUCUUUCACCAGGGACGAAGCGCAAGUGACGGUACCUGGAGAAGAAGCACCGGCCAACUACGUGCCAGCAGCCGCGGUAAUACGUAGGGUGCGAGCGUUGUCCGGAAUUACUGGGCGUAAAGAGCUCGUAGGUGGUUUGUCGCGUUGUUCGUGAAAACUCACAGCUUAACUGUGGGCGUGCGGGCGAUACGGGCAGACUAGAGUACUGCAGGGGAGACUGGAAUUCCUGGUGUAGCGGUGGAAUGCGCAGAUAUCAGGAGGAACACCGGUGGCGAAGGCGGGUCUCUGGGCAGUAACUGACGCUGAGGAGCGAAAGCGUGGGGAGCGAACAGGAUUAGAUACCCUGGUAGUCCAA
rnacentral:rRNA from 1 species